ensembl:lncRNA
CUCGCCAGUGUAGCCCUUGGCGUUAUUCCAGGACCAGCGUCUUCUGUACGCUUACUCUGGGGUUCAGACUUCUGCGCCCCUGGCCGGCGGUGGCGCGCCUCCUCCACGCCUCUCUCCAGCCCUGAGCUCUCUGCGGCCGAAAGUGGCCGGGCAAGCGUUGCCAUGACAGCACCGCGGGUGGGGAUGCGGAGGGCAGAGCGCGCCGGCCCGCUAGCCCCUUUGUGCGGAAGGGGCGGCGGUGUGCUCCCCCCAGCCCGGCUGCACCCCGCUUUCCCGGCCAGGACUCUGGGCGAGGGAAAGGGGAGGGUUAGGUGUGGGGCUGUAGGGGCGCAAGGAGGAGGGAGAAGGGUGGAGGCGAGGGCCGCGGGUGGGGCGCCUCCGCCCGCCAGCCGCUCCCGCAUUAAAAUUUCAUGGGCGCUGCAGCAGCUACAAAGACGACGCCGGCUGCGCUCGGGGGACCGGAGGGAGGGAGGCUGCGGACGAGUGCGGGGAGGAGUUUGAGGUGGGAGGUGCUUGCAGGGACUCCCCCAGUUCUGCGCUGUGAGCCGGGGCACAAAGAGCCCUCUGCACUCGCGCCGCAGGACCGCGGACCCGAGGUCCUUUCUCUGGCUGUGAUCCAUGCUUCUUCCCCGGGCAGGAUGACACUCUUUGAAUUUCCUUAUUCAUCAAGGCAGUGCAGGGUGGUGGAAGGAGACGCAGCUGAGAGUUAUGCAGUUGGAGGCAUCUGUCCACCCACGUGGUUCCAGACACCUUCAUGUGGCCACCAUAACCCCAUCGGCAUCACAGGAGUAGCCAAGGUCCACAGAGCCAGGGGAAACAGUCACUGUGGACCAAGCCAGGCUCCUCUGAGCAGCCCAGGGUCUAUUUACAGAGAGCAGCAAGUUCCUGGGACAGAGGAGAGAGAAGGGAAUUUCCAGGUUCUUCAGGACGUUCACAACCAUGCUGAGAAGCAUCCUUGCAGAUAAGUAUUUAAACUCACCAGCCCGUAGCCUACCAGCCUGCCCUCUUCUGGUCUGUGCAGGAAAGUGCGGUAUCCUAGAAUCCCACAGUGGGAGGGGAAAUGGGUGAUGUAGCUCAUUCGCUUUUCUACCUCUAUGGAAGAAAGAAAGCGCUUGUCCCCAUUUUAUGGGGUCCCAGAAAGGGUGACUUUCACACCCCACUUUUGGCGUCAGGGUUAGUGUUUUAUAAACAUCACCAUGUGGAACUUUUGGACAGCUCAGUUAAAUGACUUCAUCUCUUGUGCCUGUAAAUCUGCUAUUAGAAGGAGGCUGGGGACUCCCGGGUGCUGUGAACUGGCCCUUCUUAGUUUCGGCAUUUUGUUAUUCUAUUUAUAAACCUUGGCUUGGGUUCCUUGGCCUUGAAGUUUAGUGGAAACUUCGCACUGUGCCUUUAGAUGCAUUUUUCUCAGUGCCAGAGUCUGAGUUCGUCUCCAGCUCUGGACUCGUGCCCUCACUCCUAGGUGCUGACAGCAAGCUCUGUAAAUCUGCUGAGAAGGCUCCCUGACUCUCCUGACUCAGGUCUGCCAUUGAUGAAGACAGCACAGCUGUUACCCAAAGCAAAACCUGGCAGGUGGUGCUAGGUCAGGAUUAGCGGUCAUUCUCUGGUCUUCUCCAGAUUGAUGACACAGGUUGGUCUUAAAGGAGUCCUACUCCAGCCUCCGGCUCCUCAAAUUUCCUCUGGUGCAGGGCACAUCAGGGAAGGGCAGGGGAGAAGGAGGGGAGCAGAAAAAUAACUGAGGCUGGGCAGAAGAGUCCCUUCUGUUUCCAUCUGCUGCUUAAACCAUGGGUUAUUGUUGUGCACUUCGAAUGUCAAGGCAGGAAGGGUCCCAGGGUCACCCAGUGUGGCAGGAGUAGAGCUGGGAUCAGAAUUCUGGAUUCCCAACUCUCCAUUCAGCUGCAAUUCAGCUGUCACCAAGCUGCUCAGUUUUUCCUCCUUUCUCCCUGGUUGCAUUCUGCUGCUGUUGGGAAACAGGGCGUGAGUGAAGGGAAUCCCUCUCCCCUCUCCGCUCACCUUUUUUUUUUUUUUUUGAGAUGAAGUUUCGCUGUUGUUACCCAGACUGUAGUGCAAUGGCGCGAUCUUGGCUCACCGCAACCUCCGCCUCCUGGGUUCAGGCAAUUCUCCUGCCUCAGCCUCCCGAGUAGCUGGGAUUACAGGCACGCGCCACCAUGCCCAGCUAAUUUUUGUA